rnacentral:rRNA from 1 species
UACGAAGGGGGCUAGCGUUGCUCGGAAUCACUGGGCGUAAGGCGCACGUAGGCGGAUUGCUAAGUCAGGGGUGAAAUCCUGGAGCUCAACUCCAGAACUGCCUUUGAUACUGGCGAUCUUGAGUCCGGGAGAGGUGAGUGGAACUGCGAGUGUAGAGGUGAAAUUCGUAGAUAUUCGCAAGAACACCAGUGGCGAAGGCGGCUCACUGGCCCGGUACUGACGCUGAGGUGCGAAAGCGUGGGGGAGCAAACAGG